UGGGGAAUAUUGCACAAUGGGCGCAAGCCUGAUGCAGCCAUGCCGCGUGUGUGAAGAAGGCCUUCGGGUUGUAAAGCACUUUCAGCGGGGAGGAAGGCGUUAAGGUUAAUAACCUUGGCGAUUGACGUUACCCGCAGAAGAAGCACCGGCUAACUCCGUGCCAGCAGCCACGGUAAUACGGAGGGUGCAAGCGUUAAUCGGAAUUACUGGGCGUAAAGCGCACGCAGGCGGUCUGUCAAGUCGGAUGUGAAAUCCCCGGGCUCAACCUGGGAACUGCAUUCGAAACUGGCAGGCUAGAGUCUUGUAGAGGGGGGUAGAAUUCCAGGUGUAGCGGUGAAAUGCGUAGAGAUCUGGAGGAAUACCGGUGGCGAAGGCGGCCCCCUGGACAAAGACUGACGCUCAGGUGCGAAAGCGUGGGGAGCAAACAGG
rnacentral:rRNA from 1 species